UACAGAGGUCUCAAGCGUUUGGUUCGGAUUCAUUGGGCGUAAAGGGCGCGUAGGCUGCGGGGCAAGUCGGGUGUGAAAUCUCAGAGCUCAACUCUGAAACUGCACUCGAUACUGCUUGCUUGAGGACUGGAGAGGAGAUUGGAAUUCACGGUGUAGCAGUAGAAAUGCGUAGAUAUCGUGAGGAAGACCAGUGGCGAAGGCGGAUCUCGUGGACA
rnacentral:rRNA from 1 species